rnacentral:rRNA from 1 species
GGUUAAGCGACUAAGCGUACACGGUGGAUGCCCUGGCAGUCAGAGGCGAUGAAGGACGUGCUAAUCUGCGAAAAGCGUCGGUAAGGUGAUAUGAACCGUUACAGCCGGCGAUGUCCGAAUGGGGAAACCCAGUGCAAUUCGUUGCACUAUCGUUAACUGAAUACAUAGGUUAACGAGGCGAACCGGGGGAACUGAAACAUCUAAGUACCCCGAGGAAAAGAAAUCAACCGAGAUUCCCCCAGUAGCGGCGAGCGAACGGGGAGCAGCCCAGAGUCUGAAUCAGCUUGUGUGUUAGUGGAACGGUCUGGAAAGUCCGACGGUACAGGGUGAUAGUCCCGUACACCAAAAUGCACAGGCUGUGAACUCGAAGAGUAGGGCGGGACACGUGGUAUCCUGUCUGAAUAUGGGGGGACCAUCCUCCAAGGCUAAAUACUCCUGACUGACCGAUAGUGAACCAGUACCGUGAGGGAAAGGCGAAAAGAACCCCGGCGAGGGGAGUGAAAAAGAACCUGAAACCGUGUACGUACAAGCAGUGGGAGCACCUUCGGGUGUGACUGCGUACCUUUUGUAUAAUGGGUCAGCGACUUAUAUUCUGUAGCAAGGUUAACCGUAUAGGGGAGCCGCAGGGAAACCGAGUCUUAACUGGGCGUUAAGUUGCAGGGUAUAGACCCGAAACCCGGUGAUCUAGCCAUGGGCAGGUUGAAGGUUGGGUAACACUAACUGGAGGACCGAACCGACUAAUGUUGAAAAAUUAGCGGAUGACUUGUGGCUGGGGGUGAAAGGCCAAUCAAACCGGGAGAUAGCUGGUUCUCCCCGAAAGCUAUUUAGGUAGCGCCUCGUGAAUUCAUCUUCGGGGGUAGAGCACUGUUUCGGCUAGGGGGUCAUCCCGACUUACCAACCCGAUGCAAACUACGAAUACCGAAGAAUGUUAUCACGGGAGACACACGGCGGGUGCUAACGUCCGUCGUGAAGAGGGAAACAACCCAGACCGCCAGCUAAGGUCCCAAAGUCAUGGUUAAGUGGGAAACGAUGUGGGAAGGCACAGACAGCCAGGAUGUUGGCUUAGAAGCAGCCAUCAUUUAAAGAAAGCGUAAUAGCUCACUGGUCGAGUCGGCCUGCGCGGAAGAUGUAACGGGGCUAAACCAUGCACCGAAGCUGCGGCAGCGACACUAUGUGUUGUUGGGUAGGGGAGCGUUCUGUAAGCCUGCGAAGGUGACCUGUGAGGGUUGCUGGAGGUAUCAGAAGUGCGAAUGCUGACAUAAGUAACGAUAAAGCGGGUGAAAAGCCCGCUCGCCGGAAGACCAAGGGUUCCUGUCCAACGUUAAUCGGGGCAGGGUGAGUCGACCCCUAAGGCGAGGCCGAAAGGCGUAGUCGAUGGGAAACAGGUUAAUAUUCCUGUACUUGGUGUUACUGCGAAGGGGGGACGGAGAAGGCUAUGUUAGCCGGGCGACGGUUGUCCCGGUUUAAGCAUGUAGGCUGGUU